rnacentral:rRNA from 1 species
AGAGUUUGAUCCUGGCUCAGAACGUACGCUGGCGGCACGCCUAACACAUGCAAGUCGAACGAAGUAGCAAUACUUAGUGGCGAACGGGUGAGUAUAAUGUGGGUAUCUGCCCUUUGGUUUGGAAUAACACGAGGAAACUUGUGCUAAUACCAAAUAAGCCUUCACAGGGAAAGCUUUAGCGCCAAAGGAUGAGCCCGCACUUGAUUAGCUAGUUGGUAAGGUAAAGGCUUACCAAGGCUACGAUCAAUAGCUGAUCUGAGAGGAUGAUCAGCCACAUUGGGACUGAGACACGGCCCAAACUUCUACGGAAGGCAGCAGUGGGGAGUCUUGCACAAUGGGGGAAACCCUGAUGCAGCGAUGCCGCGUGAGUGAAGAAGGCCUUUGGGUUGUAAAGCUCUUUCGUCGGGGAAGAAAAUGACUGUACCCGAAUAAGAAGGUCCGGCUAACUUCGUGCCAGCAGCCGCGGUAAUACGAAGGGACCUAGCGUAGUUCGGAAUUACUGGGCUUAAAGAGCACGUAGGUGGUUAAGAAAGUUGGUGGUGAAAUCCCAAGGCUUAACCUUGGAACUGCCACCAAAACUUUUUAACUAGAGUGUGAUUGAGGUAAGCGGAAUUUCUAGUGUAGAGGUGAAAUUCGUAGAUAUUAGAAAGAACACCAAUUGCGAAGGCAGCUUUCUGGAUCAUUACUGACACUGAGGUGCGAAAGCAUGGGUAGCGAAGAGGAUUAGAUACCCUCGUAGUCCAUGCUGUAAACGAUGUGUGCUAGACGUUGGAAAUUUAUUUUUCAGUGUCGCAGCAAAAGCGUUAAGCACACCGCCUGGGGAGUACGACCGCAAGGUUAAAACUCAAAUGAAUUGACGGGGACCCGCACAAGCAGUGGAGCAUGUGGUUUAAUUCGAAGAUACGCGCAGAACCUUACCAACACUUGACAUGUUCGUCGCGACUUUAAGAGAUUAGAGUCUUCGGUUCGGCCGGACGAAACACAGGUGCUGCAUGGCUGUCGUCAGCUCGUGUCGUGAGAUGUUGGGUUAAGUCCCGCAACGAGCGCAACCCUUACUUUUAGUUGCUACCAUUUAGUUGGGCACUCUAAAAGAACUGCCAGUGAUAAGCUGGAGGAAGGUGGGGAUGACGUCAAGUCCUCAUGGCCCUUACGUGUUGGGCUACACACGUGCUACAAUGGUAUUUACAGUGGGAUGCUAAGAGGCAACUCCAAGCAAACCCCCAAAAGAUACCUCAGUUCGGAUUGUACUCUGCAACUCGAGUACAUGAAGCUGGAAUUGCUAGUAAUCGCGGAUCAGCGCGCCGCGGUGAAUACGUUCCCGGGUCUUGUACACACCGCCCGUCACACCAUGGAAGUUGGUUACACCUUAAGGCAAAGCGUAAAACCUUUGACUACGGUACGAUCAGCGACUGGGGUGAAGUCGUAACAAGGUAACC